rnacentral:rRNA from 1 species
AGAACUUAGCAGAGAUGCUUUGGUGCCUUCGGGAACUCUGAGACAGGUGCUGCAUGGCUGUCGUCAGCUCGUGUUGUGAAAUGUUGGGUUAAGUCCCGCAACGAGCGCAACCCUUAUCCUUUGUUGCCAGCGAUUCGGUCGGGAAACUCAAAGGAGACUGCCAGUGAUAAACUGGAGGAAGGUGGGGAUGACGUCAAGUCAUCAUGGCCCUUACGAGUAGGGCUACACACGUGCUACAAUGGCGCAUACAAAGAGAAGCGACCUCGCGAGAGCAAGCGGACCUCAUAAAGUGCGUCGUGGUCCGGAUUGGAGUCUGCAACUCGACUCCAUGAAGUCGGAAUCGCUAGUAAUCGUAGAUCAGAAUGCUACGGUGAAUACGUUCCCGGGCCUUGUACACACCGCCCGUCACACCAUGGGAGUGGGUUGCAAAAGAAGUAGGUAGCUUAACUUUCGGGAGGGCGCUUACCACUUUGUGAUUCAUGACUGGGGUGAAGUCGUAACAAGGUAAGCGUAGUGCU